AAAACUACUUGCUUACAAAAUCAGACAUAAAAAUACAAAAGUAUCAUGGCGCGCUGUUACUGAAAAAUUGCUUGCUUUCUCAUUUUUACCAUAUAGUUAUAAAUCAAGUGGAGUAUAAAUAUUUCAGCGUAUAGUAUGUAGAGCAGUAUAAACAUGUCAUUGUCUAUAUGAAAUUUUAGUUUGUACUGACUGUGCUAGUGCUUUUUAUGUAGCCCGUUGUAAAAAUAAUUACAAAUAAUUAGAGUUGAUGUACCACCUGGAAGACCUCUGCGUACCCCCAGGGGUACACAUACCCCUGUUUGAGAACCACUGGGUUAGAUUAUGUAUUGUGGAAGGAUACAAGGCAUCGGAAAUUUCAGUCCCCGAAGUGGUCAGGACACACUCCCGCAAUCCUUGGUGACAUCGUGUGCAAAAUAGCUCAUGCAUUUACAUCAGAAAUUUGUAAGGCGACCACAUGGUCAACUACUACCAUUGUUAGCAAGCAUUACAAGGUAGACUUCCAGUUCUGCGCACUGGUGACCUGAGCAGGAAGGUGCUGGAGGUGAUGGCUUAGAAAUGAUUUUUGCCUUUGAGCAAAUGUUAUGAGCAGGGAGGGGAUACUGUUUUCCUUUUCUCCUGACCUUCUCUAUGCCCUCCCUACAUCUGUUCACUGCUCGACAAGUCCCAGAGAAUUGUGGGAAAUUCUGGGCUACAGUAUAGAAAAUUUCUUAUUGAUGAUUUCCUUUCUCCUAGCAGUCUCUCCCACAAUUCUACCCACUUGGCCUCGAGCCAAAAGGUCAGCUGCUGAGUGGGAUCUUUAACAUGGGCCUUUUUUUUCUGUUGUGGUUCACUGAACAUAGUUGGUCAGUUACCUCUGAAGUAUUUGUUACUAAUAUUAUUAUACAAUUUUUACAGCUUUGGAAUAACUCAUCUGUCCACAAGCGGGAGCCGAGGGGGCAUGGCCAGAGUGGUGGCAACAAAAAGCUGAUCUGCCUCUGUGAACUGCAAGAGUGAGCAGAGCAGCCCAGAUGUCAAGAACUAUGGAAGACGCGGCUAGCAGAAAGGUAAUUAUUGGUCAUGCUCUCCUCCAGAACCUUCAAUGGAACUCAAGAUUCCUGAAUAUCAGCAUUCCUCUGCAGUCAACAAAUAUCUGUGAAACCCACUGGCAAAGUUGUGUCUUAUCCUGCCUCCAGUGCUACUACACAUAGGGAAUGACAAACUACUAUUGAUAUCAGAUACUUCAUUAGUUCAAGUGGCAGAGGUCUGUGCUGAGGAUCUUAAGGCUCCAACCUUGCUGAUGACCUGUUGAAGGUGUCUGGACCCCUUCCUCAUUAGUUCAAAGGUGUUGCAGUACAGCGUGCAGAGUUUUGGAUUCCAGAUCACACCAGCCCCAUUGUAACUGAAAGCCAUGGGUUCUGUGGGAAACAAUGGCAACUGAAAGGGACAACUUGCACCAGUGAUUUGUUUCCUUUAGAACAAACUUUUCAUAGCUGGCCACUAACUGUGUUUUCACUUUCUGCUUGCCCAACUUGAGACCCUGGAAUCUGAUUUGCAAAAGUUCUGAGCACUCACAGAUGCAACUACAGUCAGUGGGAGCUGUGCUUUGAACAUACAGUGCUAUAAAAAUGCUAACUACUCUCUGAAAAAUCAGAAUGCAGAGGUCUGAAAUUGGGCAACCGAAGUUUAUGGACACUUUUGAUGUUAAUAUCUCUGUUUCAGUACCCCAUUUAUAAAAAGGGGAUAUCACCUGAUCUCACAUGGGAGUUAUGAAUAUAAAUUCAUUAAUACUUGUGAAGCACUCAGAUACCAUAGUGAAGACUACCAUAGAAAAGUGAAUUAGGAAAUUAAUAAUUCUGUCAUCAGUGUUGGAUUUGAAUAGGGUGCAAUUAAUAUGGGUUUGGGCCACACAUUAAACAAUGAGAAUAAACAAUAUAUUGAAUAAUUGCUAAUUCAGUGAGCCAGCCCUCCUGUGCCCUGAAUGAUGCAAGGCUAGGUCAUGGGCAGAAAAUAGUGUAGUUAAACACUAUCAUAAUAUAUUUGCAUGUAGAAGGGGCCACAUUUUGUAGAGGUAAAAUUAUGGCAUUUUUCUAAUUAAGGGCUUGACUUUGCAAACUUAACAUUCUUGUAUUAUUGUGUGUAAUCUGUUACAGUAGUGCCCAAUGGCCUCAAAUUAGUCUUAAUAGAAUGACUUAGGAUAUUAAAGUUAACCAUGUGCAUAAAUGUUUACAAGAUCAGGGUCUUACAGAUGUAUAUGAAGACUUAAGUCCCUGCCUGCCCUAAAGAAUUUACAGUCCAAAGAUUCUUAUCUCUGUCAGAAUAAAAAUCUAACCUAUUGCUGUUACCUCUGAAUUUCAUUCCUUUCUCAGUUGCUUAGAUAUUUUUUGCUUAUGUUUUUUCUAAAGUAUAAUAGGGCUUAGUCAUACCUUUGUUCUCUUAGCAAUCAACUUUUUUUUUCUGAAAACACAAGUGGCGCUAGCCCUUUAAAAAAUGAAAUCUUUGGGGCAGAUGGUGAUGGAGAAUUUCUGGAUAGUCUUCAGUCUUGUAACAAAGUCUCUCUCCUGCAUUUAAAAAUCAAAUACCUAGAUGAGAUAUCUGAGGCAGUAGUUGUCGUCUCUUUUUAAUUAAUGAAAACCCACUUCUGUAUAAUGCGGCUCUUAAAAAGGAAUUAGCAAAAGAUAGUUUAAGUACAUAGCCCAUCUGGGUUUUUGUCCUAAUCAUAACCCUUGAUUUAAAAACUUGUUAGGGAAAUGUUUUGUUGUAAUAUAAUGCAUUGCUAGAAAGUCUAGGCUUCAAGUCAGGUACUGUAGAAGUUAACACAAACUGCAGCACACAACUUUGGCUUGGCACUGCAGUUUUAAUAAGGCAAUUCUAAUUCAAAAUAUUGUAUUACAUGAUAUGGGUGAUUUUCCUGCAUUAUUACUGAAAUGCCUUUGUAUAUUGAAAUUAAAUGUUUUUAGCUCUGCUAGGUAGC